CUGACCACCAGGCAGGAGAGAACAAUGUAUUCUGGGGAUGCAGGAUUUCCUCCUUUGGACCCACUUCCAAUAGAAAUCCCCACACACAUCGUAUCUUCCAUCUGUCUGCUGAAACACAAAGAUAAAUGUCUCGACAAGAGAGCAAGGGAGAGGUUUUGACAACACCAAAGAUGCUUGAAAGCAGAGAAUCUUGUAGGGCUUAAGAAAGAAAGACUUUCAUCUCUCAGAUUCAUUUCUCCGGGGAGUGUUAACUGCCCCCAGACGAGUCACCACAAUGCAGCAACCGGUAAAACUAUUUUCCCUGUCUCCAAGGCAUCCCUGAAGCACCAAGAGGCCAAUUCCUCUCGGGGAGACAUGCAAGUUACAAAAUGCAGGGCAGGGAGGAAGCAGCAAGCAGUCAAUUCGCCUGGAAAGAGCUGUGUGAGAAUCAUAGGUGUAAUUUACUAGCUUUCAGUUGCCACUUCAGAGGGGCAAAGUCCGAAUACUUCUUAGGUAUCGAAGUUGUGCUCCCCGUGGCGUGGCCCUGAAACAUUUCCGUUGUGUUAUCAGGUUCUGUGCUGGGUCCACCGAUUGCCUAAUUACUCUUGCGGGGCUCCUUCUGCUCUCUCCCUUCCGUUUGCUGCGGCCAGGAAUUAUAACCCUGAUUGUUCCAGGCUGUUUCUCGGACAUUCACGUGUUUCCCUUAACUGGAGAAGACACCGCGGUGCAGUCGCCUCCCUUCUGGGACUGGAAGAUGAGAUAUUUUAGCGAUAAAGAAUGGCAAUCCAGCCUGAGAUGAGUUUCCCCGCUGUGGUGCAUCUCUUGAAUUUUAAACACAAGCUGUGUUUCUUCAAUCCUCAAGUUUAGUAGAAGUGACUGGCCCCUGAUUCCGAAUGCAUAUGUAUCCAAAGGCAGUAGAAAUGUGUGUGUGACCAAGAGUCAAGUUCUGAGCUUCUAUAAGAGGGAUGAGUGACUAGAAGUGACAAUGAACUCUUCUUCACCAAGGUGCUUCACGGGGCUGCCUUCUGGGAACCUUCAGUUGUGCAUUAGGCAAACAUUACAAAAGCACUGAUAAAAUUCUAAGUAAAAGGCAAGGAAAACCAUUCAUGAUUCCAUCGCCCCAAGAACAGUCAAGCUGUUUGCAGAUUUUCCUCACUCUCUUUUGCUCAGAGCCACGUGAAUAUACAACGUCACUGGCAUAAUUACAGCAGAGAGACAUUUUGCAUCCAUUUAUUCCCCUUGCACAUCAUAUGAGCCCUGAGCCAACUUCUAAGAAGUUUUCUGCCCUAAAGCCACAGUGCUGGAGAGAGAGAGAGAGGAUGUGCCAAGAAUACACAGCCAUAGAGGUGCCCUGGGACGCCACGAGUCCUCCCAGCAUGUACCAUGGACACGAGAGGGAGCUUUCAGAUGAUUCCAUGUUCCAGCCUUGAAGAUGCUCCAGCCAAUACCCAGUGGAACAGGGAUAAGUUGAUCCCACCAAGCUUUACCUCAAAUGCAGAUUCAGGAGCAAAAUAAAUGUUGUUGGUUUAAAUCACUAAGCUCAGGCUGCUUAGUCACACAGUCACCCAGUAAUGAGUGGAACACAUUUAACUUGCAGGUGGGGACUUCUUCAACCCCAUCCAUUUGCAUAUAUUGCAAACAUUUCCCAAAAUGCCUGGGCUUUCAAGUUACCCUUCCCUGGUUCAUAUGAUAUUUUCUUUAAUAUAUUUUUUAUUUCUUAUUCAUAUAAAAAUAUUUUUUUAUUCUCAUUGCUCAUUUUAUUAAAAUUGUAGGUAAAGAGGAAAA
ensembl:lncRNA